rnacentral:rRNA from 1 species
GAUCAUGGCUCAGGACGAACGCUGGCGGCGCGCCUAACACAUGCAAGUCGAACGGAGAUUACAGGCGGAAGUUUUCGGAUGGAAGCUUGUAAACUUAGUGGCGGACGGGUGAGUAACACGUGAGCAACCUGCCUAUCAGAGGGGGGAUAACGAUUGGAAACGAUCGCUAAUACCGCAUGACAUAGCGGAACCGCAUGGUUCUGUUAUCAAAGAUUUUAUCGCUGAUAGAGGGGCUCGCGUCCG